ensembl:lncRNA
GUCUUAUAUAAUAUAUUUAAUCCAUGAUAAUACAUAGUUUAUAUAGUAAUACCUUAAAUAUCCUUUGACUAUUACUGCAUGCAACUGUGAUCCACAGGCUCAGCACAUGGACACAAUGACCACAGCCAAUAUACAACAUGAAGUAAAUGUUAUUAAUUUAUUUUUCAUUUUUAAUGCUCUUAAAUAGCAAAAAUAGUUUUAUUUUAUUCAUGACAUAAAUGAAAACAUAGUUACUCCUCACACCAGUUUGGUAAGUGGGGAACAUUUUCCUUCCACUCAGGUGACCACAGUUCGAAUAGCAGGAUUUCACUGAACCACAAGCAAAAAUACAUCCUUUAGCCAAAGUUAGCAAAAACGAUACCGAGCCCAAACUCUUUAAAGAUAAUUUGACUUGUUUAAACUCUACAUGUAACUGAAUACCGUGUGCUUGUGUAGGUCGUUAGUAUAAUCCAUUAAGCCUACCUCAGUGUGGGGGAGCAAACUGCCCCUAAUGAGUCCACAUAAAUAAAGUGCUAAUGAAAGUGAAAUAAGUCUAACUGCACUCAACAAAUAGCCCACCUGCCAUAUCUCUGUUUGCAGGCACAGAAAGGUGGGCAAAUGAGGCAGUUAUUUGUGAAAGGACAAUCUAAAGUAAGUCUUUACGAUUCAGUAGGUUGCGAGUUUAGUUAAAUACAUUUCAGUUCUGGGAGCAGCGCUGCUGUUGCUAACUGUGAGAAUACUUAGCGGGGUUAGUGUGACAGUGCAUUAGCAGCCCGAGUCCAUUCUCUGCGUCCCCAGAGAGACCAGAGCGGGCAUAUUAACAUUCUCCUCAGAAGGGCCACAGGAUCUGCCUUCAAUGCCGUCUGACUCCAAACAAAAGACGGUGCGUGUGUGUGCGUGUGUGUGUGUGUGCGUGUUUGAGUGUGAGACGCAGACAGGCUGGGAGUGUGCAUGUGUAACUGUGUGCAAGACGAGACAAAAAGGAGGGAGAAAGAACAAGAGAAAACCGUCUAUAGGAGGAGGAGGUAAGUUUCAGUAUAUAUUUACCAUUGCUGGGUGUCUAUAGUUUAAUAAUGUAACCACACUGCGUGCUGCAAAUCAAUGUGCAAGGAAUAUUUUCUGGUAAACAAGUCCUCUUUUGAACUUGUUUCUUUUCUCCAAGUUUAAAAAGAUUAAUUUCCGUAACAUCUACAAAUGAAGGACAAAAUUGAAGAUAUCGAUAUAAUGACCUCGCUUAUAUUUAUGUUUUAUUUAUUUUUGACCAAUCAUUAAAUCCACAACAUUCACAACAACCUCUCAGACUCUUAAGCUUU